UAAAAAAUGUUCAAAAAAUUUCAUACAUGCAUAUAUAUCGUGUGAUAUACAUUAGUGUAUAGUAAUGAUAUAAAAUUAGGCUCGUUUUCGAAGAGUGAGAGUAAAAAAAGAGAACGACUAAUUUUUUAUAGAGAACUUCAGAUAGUUGAUUUGACUAAACAUUAUAUAGGUAAUGUACCAAACUAACUUUCACAUAAACAAAGUAUAGAAAAUUUAAUUAGUAUGAGAUUAUAAUUGUAAUUACUAUUACGAUGACAAGAUCAGAUAUAAUUAUCCGACGUACAGGUUAUUUUAUGCACAAUAAAAUACAACUGACGAAACUAAAUUAUAAUGAGACAUGUAUAAGUUAUGUGAAAUGAAAACCAUAUUUUCAACAUUUUUUGAUUUCAUUAGAAUUUUCAAGGAUAUUAAAUUAUUAAAAGAAAUGGUCAAAACAUAAAGCUAAAGGUCAUAAAUUGAAGCAUAUCAAACAAGCUUUAAGAUAAUUUUUACUGGAAUCGUUUAUCAGUUUUAGUUUUAAUGUUAUAUGAACUUAAAUAGUGAAUAACAAUUGAUUUUCUCAAACAACCAUAAUUUAAAAACUAUAGAAUAAUUGUAGAAAAUUUCAUUAAGCUCCGAAAAGAACUGUAGGUGCUAUCGUAAUGAUAAGAGCAGUGAUAAUCAUCGGGAUUAGAGGUUAUUUUGUGCACAAUAAAAUACAACUGACGAAACUAAAUUAUAAUGGGACAUGUAUAAGUUAUGUGGGAUGAAAACCAUAUUUUUAACAUUUUUUUAUUUAAUUAAAAUUUUCAAGACAAUCAAAUUAUUGGAAGAAAUGGCCAAAACAUAAAGUUAAAGGCCAUAAAUUAAAGCUUAUUAGACAAGCUUUCAGAUACUUUUUUACGGAAAUUGUCUAUGGGUAUUAGUUUUAAAAUUUUAUGAACUUGAAAGUGGAUAAAAACUGAUAUUUUCGAAAAAUCAUGGAAAUUUCAAACAGCCAUAACUUUUAAACUAAUCGAACAAUUUAUCCCAUCUUCAAACUUAUCCGUGAUAUUCGCCCAUAAAAUAAAUGUGAAAAAUUUCAUUAGGAUCCGCUAA